ACUGAACCGGGAAGAGCCCAGCGCAUAAGCUCGUGUCCCGGGCAACCGGCCACGAGCGGUGUUGCGUUUCGGAGGGUCCGGCACGCCGUCCCAUACCGCCUAAGUCAAGCUUGAACGCGGCCACUACCCAUGGAGGGUGACAGGCCCGUAUGGCGGCGCCCGCGAGGGUAGAGAUGGGGCGGUCGGAAAGGGCCUCUCCGUAGAGUCGGGUUGCUUGAAAGUGCAGCCCAAAGUAGGUGGUAAACUCCAUCUAAGGCUAAAUAUGACCACGAGACCGAUAGCGAACAAGUACCGUGAGGGAAAGUUGAAAAGAACUUUGAAGAGAGAGUUCAAGAGUACGUGAAACCGUCAAGAGCCAAACGGGUGGAGGCUCGAAGGUCGAAGUGAGGGGAUUCAGUUCGUCGGUAGAAUGUCUGGCUGGUAGGAGAUGUCACGGCACGACCCUAGGUGUGGGCGUCCCUUCUACCAAGCUGGAGCCGGCGGGCGUACUUCGCCUCGUAGUAGGUCGCCGCGACCCGUUGCUGGGGAGGUCGAAGGCCCGAACGGAUUGGUACCCCGCCGAGCGAGCAGGAGCCCCUUCCAAAGCUUCUGCCGGGCGGUUGGGGGAAACCGUCGGUGAUUGUUUCCUGGCAGCCCUGCGACGGUCGAUGAGACGAGCCCCCUUCGUAAGGAGGGGUCUCUCGCGGCGUGCAAAAGGUCGGCGCUCCACCCGUCCCGUCUUGAAACACGGGCCAAGGAGUCCAACAUGUGUGCGAGUCAUUGGGCGCACUAAACCCAAAGGCAAAAUGAAAGUGAGAUGGCUUGUCGUUGGUCGCCUCGGCGGCCUCCUACUAGCCAGGGCCGAUCCCCGACCGGCUGCCUCCGGCCUUCUGCCGCGGCCACACGCGGGGUGAGUCCCUUUCCCCCGCCUCUGGCGCGUCGCGGAUCUGUGGGGUCGGUUGGCGAAGGUCUUUUUAUUCUGUGGAAACCUGUUCGCAGGGGGGCGCAGGCCCGGGACUUGCCACGGACGCCGCGCGUCUCCUCUUCCCGUGCUCCUCAUCGGGCCGAGAGGGGCUGGCGUGCUCGCAGUCGGCAAGUACCAGGAGCAGGCAUGUUGGGACCCGAAAGAUGGUGAACUAUGCCUGGCCAGGAUGAAGCCAGAGGAAACUCUGGUGGAGGUCCGUAGCGAUUCUGACGUGCAAAUCGAUCGUCUGAGCUGGGUAUAGGGGCGAAAGACUAAUCGAACCAUCUAGUAGCUGGUUCCCUCCGAAGUUUCCCUCAGGAUAGCUGGAACUCGCCACCAGAUGAAUUUCAUCCGGUAAAGCGAAUGAUUAGAGGUCUUGGGGACGAAACGUCCUCAACCUAUUCUCAAACUUUAAAUGGGUGAGAUGCCGAGCUUGCUUAAAAGAUGAAGCUUCGGCGACGAAUCGGAGUUCCUAGUGGGCCACUUUUG
rnacentral:rRNA from 1 species